rnacentral:tRNA from 1 species
GGGGAUUUAGCUCAGUGGUAGAGCGCUUGCCUAGCAAGCGCAAGGCCCUGGGUUCGGUUCCCAGCUUCG